rnacentral:rRNA from 1 species
AGUGAACGCUGGCGGUAGGCCUAACACAUGCAAGUCGAACGGCAGCACAGUAAGAGCUUGCUCUUACGGGUGGCGAGUGGCGGACGGGUGAGGAAUACAUCGGAAUCUACUUUUUCGUGGGGGAUAACGUAGGGAAACUUACGCUAAUACCGCAUACGACCUACGGGUGAAAGCAGGGGAUCUUCGGACCUUGCGCGAUUGAAUGAGCCGAUGUCGGAUUAGCUAGUUGGCGGGGUAAAGGCCCACCAAGGCGACGAUCCGUAGCUGGUCUGAGGGGAUGAUCAGCCACACUGGAACUGAGACACGGUCCAGACUCCUACGGGAGGCAGCAGUGGGGAAUAUUGGACAAUGGGCGCAAGCCUGAUCCAGCCAUACCGCGUGGGUGAAGAAGGCCUUCGGGUUGUAAAGCCCUUUUGUUGGGAAAGAAAAGCAGCAGGUUAAUACCCCGCUGUUCUGACGGUACCCAAAGAAUAAGCAUCGGCUAACUUCGU